rnacentral:rRNA from 1 species
CUGAAGCAAAGGAGCUUGCUUCUUUUGGAUGAGUUGCGAACGGGUGAGUAACGCGCAGGUAACCUGCCUUGUAGCGGGGGAUAACUAUUGGAAACGAUAGCUAAUACCGCAUAACAGCUUUUGACACAUGUUAGAAGCUUGAAAGAUGCAAUUGCAUCACUACGAGAUGGACCUGCGUUGUAUUAGCUAGUAGGUAGGGUAACGGCCUACCUAGGCGACGAUACAUAGCCGACCUGAGAGGGUGAUCGGCCACACUGGGACUGAGACACGGCCCAGACUCCUACGGGAGGCAGCAGUAGGGAAUCUUCGGCAAUGGGGGCAACCCUGACCGAGCAACGCCGCGUGAGUGAAGAAGGUUUUCGGAUCGUAAAGCUCUGUUGUAAGAG